GGCUUAGAGUUUGAUCAUGGCUCAGGAUGAACGCUGGCGGCGUGCCUAACACAUGCAAGUCGAGCGAAGCACUUUGCUCUGAUUUCUUCGGAUUGAAGAGUGAUUUGACUGAGCGGCGGACGGGUGAGUAACGCGUGGGUAACCUGCCUCACACAGGGGGAUAACAGUUAGAAAUGACUGCUAAUACCGCAUAAGGCCACAGCACCGCAUGGUGCAGGGGUAAAAACUCCGGUGGUGUGAGAUGGGCCCGCGUCUGAUUAGUUAGUUGGCGGGGUAACGGCCCACCAAGGCGACGAUCAGUAGCCGACCUGAGAGGGUGACCGGCCACAUUGGGACUGAGACACGGCCCAAACUCCUACGGGAGGCAGCAGUGGGGAAUAUUGCACAAUGGGGGAAACCCUGAUGCAGCGACGCCGCGUGAGCGAAGAAGUAUUUCGGUAUGUAAAGCUCUAUCAGCAGGGAAGAAAUUGACGGUACCUGACUAAGAAGCACCGGCUAAAUACGUGCCAGCAGCCGCGGUAAUACGUAUGGUGCAAGCGUUAUCCGGAUUUACUGGGUGUAAAGGGAGCGUAGACGGAGCAGCAAGUCUGGAGUGAAAACCCGGGGCUCAACCCCGGGACUGCUUUGGAAACUGUUGUUCUAGAGUGCUGGAGAGGUAAGUGGAAUUCCUAGUGUAGCGGUGAAAUGCGUAGAUAUUAGGAGGAACACCAGUGGCGAAGGCGGCUUACUGGACAGUAACUGACGUUGAGGCUCGAAAGCGUGGGAGCAAACAGGAUUAGAUACCCUGGUAGUCCACGCCGUAACGAUGACUGCUAGUGUUGGGUGGCAAAGCAUUCGUGCNCAGCUACGCAAUAGCAGUCACUGGG
rnacentral:rRNA from 1 species